UCAGUAUGUGUCGGCUAAUGACCUUAAUAGAUCGACACAUGCGCUCAAGAGUCGACAAAUAAGUGGCUUUUCUUGGUCAAAUCUCUUCAUUUCUCUCACUAGCAUACAUGCAACUAAACUCUUCAAUCUCUACAUCUCAUCUUUAAUUGUGAAAAUCAUUCAAUUAGAAUUAAUUAUUAUUAGACAUUCACUCCAUAUCAUCAAUCAUCAAAUUUUCAU
rnacentral:lncRNA from 1 species